CCUACGGGUGGCAGCCGUGAGGAAUAUUGGUCAAUGGGCGGAAGCCUGAACCAGCCAAGCCGCGUGAGGGGAUAAGGCCCUACGGGUCGUAAACCUCUUUUGCCGGGGAGCAAGUGCGGGGACGUGUCCCGGCCCGGAGAGUACCCGGCGUAAAAGCAUCGGCUAACUCCGUUCCAGCAGCCGCGUUAUUACGGGGGUGGCGAGCGUUAUCCGUAUUUAUUGGGUUUAAGGGGUGCGUAGGCGGGCGUUUAAGUCCGCGGUAAAAAUUCGGGGCUCAACCCCGUCCGGCCGUUGAAACUGGGGGCCUUGAGUGGGCGAGAAGAAGGCGGAAUGCGUGGUGUAGCGGUGAAAUGCAUAGAUAUCACGCAGAACACCGAUUGCGAAGGCAGCCUUCCGGCGCCCUACUGACGCUGAGGCACGAAAGUGCGGGGAUCGAACAGGAUUAGAUACCCGGGUAGUC
rnacentral:rRNA from 1 species